GAUGAACGCUGGCGGCGUGCUUAACACAUGCAAGUCGAACGGUGAACACGGAGCUUGCUCUGUGGGAUCAGUGGCGAACGGGUGAGUAACACGUGAGCAACCUGCCCCUGACUCUGGGAUAAGCGCUGGAAACGGCGUCUAAUACUGGAUAUGUGACGUGACCGCAUGGUCUGCGUUUGGAAAGAUUUUUCGGUUGGGGAUGGGCUCGCGGCCUAUCAGCUUGUUGGUGAGGUAAUGGCUCACCAAGGCGUCGACGGGUAGCCGGCCUGAGAGGGUGACCGGCCACACUGGGAUUGAGACACGGCCCAGACUCCUACGGGAGGCAGCAGUGGGGAAUAUUGCACAAUGGGCGAAAGCCUGAUGCAGCAACGCCGCGUGAGGGAUGACGGCCUUCGGGUUGUAAACCUGUUUUAGCAGGGAAGAAGCGAAAGUGACGGUACCUGCAGAAAAAGCGCCGGCUAACUACGUG
rnacentral:rRNA from 1 species